rnacentral:rRNA from 1 species
UACGUAGGUGGCAAGCGUUGUCCGGAUUUAUUGGGUUUAAAGGGUGCGUAGGCGGCUUUGUAAGUCAGUGGUGAGAUACGGUAGCUCAACUAUCGAGGUGCCAUUGAUACUGCGGAGCUUGAGUACAGAUGAGGUAGGCGGAAUUGACGGUGUAGCGGUGAAAUGCUUAGAUAUCGUCAAGAACACCUAUAGCGAAGGCAGCUUACUAGGCUGUAACUGACGCUGAGGCACGAAAGUGUGGGGAUCAAACAGG